rnacentral:rRNA from 1 species
GGGGAUUAGUGGCGAACGGGUGAGUAACACGUGGGCAAUCUGCCCUGCACUCUGGGACAAGCCCUGGAAACGGGGUCUAAUACCGGAUACUGACCAUGACGGGCAUCCGUGGUGGUCGAAAGCUCCGGCGGUGCAGGAUGAGCCCGCGGCCUAUCAGCUUGUUGGUGAGGUAACGGCUCACCAAGGCGACGACGGGUAGCCGGCCUGAGAGGGCGACCGGCCACACUGGGACUGAGACACGGCCCAGACUCCUACGGGAGGCAGCAGUGGGGAAUAUUGCACAAUGGGCGAAAGCCUGAUGCAGCGACGCCGCGUGAGGGAUGACGGCCUUCGGGUUGUAAACCUCUUUCAGCAGGGAAGAAGCGAAAGUGACGGUACCUGCAGAAGAAGCGCCGGCUAACUACGUGCCAGCAGCCGCGGUAAUACGUAGGGCGCGAGCGUUGUCCGGAAUUAUUGGGCGUAAAGAGCUCGUAGGCGGCUUGUCACGUCGGUUGUGAAAGCCCGGGGCUUAACCCCGGGUCUGCAGUCGAUACGGGCAGGCUAGAGUUCGGUAGGGGAGAUCGGAAUUCCUGGUGUAGCGGUGAAAUGCGCAGAUAUCAGGAGGAACACCGGUGGCGAAGGCGGAUCUCUGGGCCGAUACUGACGCUGAGGAGCGAAAGCGUGGGGAGCGAACAGGAUUAGAUACCCUGGUAGUCCACGCCGUAAACGGUGGGCACUAGGUGUGGGCGACAUUCCACGUCGUCCGUGCCGCAGCUAACGCAUUAAGUGCCCCGCCUGGGGAGUAC